ACUCAAAUGAAUAGACGGGGACCCGCACAAGCGGUGGAGCAUGUGGAUUAAUUCGAUACUAACCGAAGAACCUUACCCAGGUUUGACAUUGAUGGUAAGCGUCAGAGAUGGCGCCCUCCCCCACAAGGGGACCUGAAAACAGAUGUUGCAUGGCUGUCGUCAGCUCGUGCCGUGAGGUGUGCGGUUAAGUCCGUAAACGAGCGCAACCCUCGUCCUAUGUUGCCAGCGGGAAAGCCGGGAACUCGUAGGAGACCGCCGGUGUAAGCCGGAGGAAGGUGGGGAUGAUGUCAAGUCAGCAUGGCUCUUACGCCUGGGGCUUCACACAUGCUACAAUGGACGCAACAAAGGGCAGCAAUACCGCGAGGUGGAGCUAAUCCCAAAAAUACGUCCCCAGUUCAGAUUGCAGUCUGCAACUCGACUGCAUGAAGGCGGAAUCGCUAGUAAACGCAGGUCAGCUAUACUGCGUUGAAUACGUUCCCGGGUCUUGCACACACCGCCCGU
rnacentral:rRNA from 1 species